rnacentral:rRNA from 1 species
GAUGAACGCUGGCGGCAGGCCUAACACAUGCAAGUCGAGCGCGCGGCGGACGGGUGUGUAAUGUAUGGGGACUGCCCGCUAGAGGGGGAUAACAACUGGAAACGGGGGCUCAUAUCGCAUACUGUAUGAUAACCCACAUGGGAUUAGCUAGUAGGUAAGGUAACGGCUUACCCAGGCGACGCUCCCUAGCUUGUCUGAGAGGAUGAGCAGCCACACUGGGACUGAGACACGGCCCAGACUCCUACGGAGGGAGCAGUGGGGAAUAUGGCACAAUGGGCGCAAGCCUGAUGCAGCCAUGCCGCGGGUAUGAAGAAGGCCCUAGGGUUGUAAAGUACUUUCAGUCGGGAGGCGUUACCGACAGAAGAAGCACCGGCUAACUCCGUGCCAGCAGCCGCGGUAAUUC